AACGAACGCUGGCGGCAUGCCUAACACAUUCAAGUCGAACGAGACCUUCGGGUCUAGUGGCGCCCGGGUGCGUAACGCGUGGGAACCUGCCCUUUGGUUCGGAAUAACUCCCCGAAAGGGGUGCUAAUACCGGAUAAUGUCUUCGGACCAAAGAUUUAUCGCCUUUGGAUGGGCCCGCGUUGGAUUAGCUAGUUGGUAGGGUAAAAGCCUACCAAGGCGACGAUCCAUAGCUGGUCUGAGAGGAUGAUCAGCCACACUGGGACUGAGACACGGCCCAGACUCCUACGGGAGGCAGCAGUGGGGAAUAUUGGACAAUGGGCGAAAGCCUGAUCCAGCAAUGCCGCGUGAGUGAUGAAGGCCUUAGGGUUGUAAAGCUCUUUUACCCGGGAUGAUAAUGACAGUACCGGGAGAAUAAGCGCCGGCUAACUCCGUG
rnacentral:rRNA from 1 species